UCUGGGAGUUGGCGAUGAACAGGGAAGCCUGGCGUGCUACAGUCCCUGAGGUCAGGUCAUAAAGAGUCAGACACGACUGAGGGACUGAACUGAACUGACUGUGUACAGGUUAUCUAGGGGGUACAGCAGUCAAGGCAGCAGUCAGUAAGACAGAAACCAGCAUGAGAGAAUACUGGAGGCCCUAGAACAGCAUGCAGAUACCUAGAGCAGAGGCAGGUGUGGGAUUUGCCUACUCAGAUCUGAGCAAGUUUCAGAGGAGAGACUUCAGAGUGAGG